rnacentral:rRNA from 1 species
UACGAAGGGGGCUAGCGUUGCUCGGAAUCACUGGGCGUAAAGGGCGCGUAGGCGGCCAUUCAAGUCGGGGUGAAAGCCCAGGGCUCAACCCUGGAAUUGCCUUCGAUACUGUUUGGCUAGAGACCGGAAGAGGUUAGUGGAACUGCGAGUGUAGAGGUGAAAUUCGUAGAUAUUCGCAAGAACACCAGUGGCGAAGGCGGCUAACUGGUCCGGUUCUGACGCUGAGGCGACGA